GAGUUUGAUCCUGGCUCAGGACGAACGCUGGCGGCGUGCUUAACACAUGCAAGUCGAGCGACAGCACUCUUCGGGGUGCAUGGAGCGGCGAACGGGUGAGUAACACGUGGGCAACCUGCCCUCAGCUCUGGGAUAACUCCGGGAAACCGGGGCUAAUACCGGAUACGACCUUCCCUCGCAUGGGGGUUGGUGGAGAGUUCUUCGGCUGAGGAUGGGCCCGCGGCCUAUCAGCUUGUUGGUGGGGUGAUGGCCUACCAAGGCGACGACGGGUAGCCGGCCUGAGAGGGCGACCGGCCACACUGGGACUGAGACACGGCCCAGACUCCUACGGGAGGCAGCAGUGGGGAAUAUUGCGCAAUGGGCGAAAGCCUGACGCAGCGACGCCGCGUGAGGGAUGAAGGCCUUCGGGUUGUAAACCUCUUUCAGCAGGGACGAAGCGAGAGUGACGGUACCUGCAGAAGAAGCACCGGCCAACUACGUGCCAGCAGCCGCGGUAAUACGUAGGGUGCAAGCGUUGUCCGGAAUUAUUGGGCGUAAAGAGCUCGUAGGCGGUCUGUCGCGUCGGCUGUGAAAACUCGGGGCUCAACCCCGAGCCUGCAGUCGAUACGGGCAGACUAGAGUGCUGUAGGGGAGACUGGAAUUCCUGGUGUAGCGGUGAAAUGCGCAGAUAUCAGGAGGAACACCGGUGGCGAAGGCGGGUCUCUGGGCAGUAACUGACGCUGAGGAGCGAAAGCGUGGGGAGCGAACAGGAUUAGAUACCCUGGUAGUCCACGCCGUAAACGGUGGGUGCUAGGUGUGAGCGGUAUUCCACGCCGUUCGUGCCGCAGCUAACGCAUUAAGCACCCCGCCUGGGGAGUACGGCCGCAAGGCUAAAACUCAAAGGAAUUGACGGGGGCCCGCACAAGCAGCGGAGCAUGUGGCUUAAUUCGACGCAACGCGAAGAACCUUACCAAGGCUUGACAUGCAGGGAAAUCCUCCAGAGAUGGGGGGUCCGCAAGGGUCCUGCACAGGUGGUGCAUGGUUGUCGUCAGCUCGUGUCGUGAGAUGUUGGGCUAAGUCCCGCAACGAGCGCAACCC
rnacentral:rRNA from 1 species